rnacentral:lncRNA from 1 species
UUCUUAUACAAUACUUCUUCCUUCCUGAUAAUGUCUAUUUGUUCUCUAUUUUUGGAUUGCUUUUCCAUUGUUAUCUCUAGAUUAUGAACAAAUGUUCAUAAUCCUGCAGCUGAUGGCUGCAGGAUCUGUUUAAUUAAUACAUCCAUUUUAGAACAGUUAAUAUAUUUUCCUAUAUACUAUUUUUAUUUAUUUAGUUAGUUUUAAUACAGGAUAAGUAAUUUAUAGCAGUUGGUGUUUCCAUUAUACAUGUAUUCUUCUCCUAUGGUAUGAUACAUGCAAUGCAUAAAUUGUUAUUUAUCUGAUUGAAAAGACAAAAUAAGUUUGGAAUAUAAUCAGGUUUGCCUGAUUAAAUUUCAUGUUUUUAAAAUCAAGUGCAAGGAGUUAAAGGUGGUAUUUGUGUAAUUGUGGAAGACAUAUUGAAGGUUCAUGAGAAUACAUAUGAGUUAAAAUAGCAUUCAUGGGCAUUGAUAAGACAAUAUGUUAACUUUUUAUCGUGGCUAAAAGGGGGAUGGUCUUCUAAUGGGCUAUCAAUGCAACAACUUUUAGAAAAUGUAAUUCGCUAAGUGCUGGGUGGUACUGGCUUAGUAGGUGUAUAAUAAAGCACUAUUCAUCCAGAAUAAAGAUGAAGAGUGGAGCUUCUAACAAUCUAAAGAAAACAGCUGAGGUCAGCCAAGGCAGCAGAGUUAUUUGGACAGCUUUGAGUAAUUUUUGUCUUGCUUACCACCAGGAUAAGGACAAGCCCCGUGCAAAUGGAGGUUGAGCAACAAAGAGAUUAAACAAUUAAUAAAAUCAGUGGUAAGUGUCUGAUCACAGUAUAAUCAUGUUUUCAGAUGUGCAUGUUUUAGCCUUCCAUUUGUCCUGUUCAGUGUCUGUGAGAGCAAUAUAUGCUAGUCAGCAGGGUGAGGUUUUAAGACUAAAGUAAAAAUUGUACUUUCUUGAACCUUGGCAAGAAAGGCAAUCACUUUUCCUUGGCCUUUGUCUAAUAGUCAUAGAGACUGUAAGUUCAUAAGUGCAGUGAAUUGUCUUAAAUGUGUUUGAUACACACUUAAAUUGUAAUAACAAAUCAAGUGUCAUUGUACAUUCAUUUCAUGUGUUUUAUAUUAAAAACAAACCAACAAAACUUGGUCGCUAUACAGAAUAGACUGAAAAAUGUCUCGUAUGGUAAGAUAAUACUUUCAAAUGUUGUUACUAUGUUGGGUGUUCAGCCGAGAUAGUCAGAC